ACAGGGAACUAAUGUAUCCCCUACUGUAAAGUACAAUAUUCAGAGUUCCUUGGCUUUCAAAAUAAGUUUUGUUUUUAGUUUUUUGCAACUGCUGGCAAAGCCCUGAAAAUGUCAAUAAGAAGGGACAGUGGAACCCCCAAUAAAGGAGUACUCUUUAAUAUUAUUAUUAUGCUUUAUUUAUAGUGCACCGUCAUAUUUUGCAGCACUUUUACAACAUUAAAGCUGCCCCUACGGUACUUAGUAAAUGGAUUAACAGAAUUGCUUGACUAUGCCGCAUCUUCAUUAAAGGCAAGUUUCAGUGUGCAGACACCAAUACACAGAGCAGCAUGGAGUCUAUGAUUUCCCUUGUUUGGCAACCGGUGCCAAGGCUUCCACCAUCGUCCCCCCUGCAAUAUGAUUGUCAUGAGGCAUGCUGCCAACAUUAGCAACAGAGAAGCAAGUGAUGGACAGACUGGCAUCCACAAUAUUCAGAGCUCCAGUCCUGUUGGAUCUCCCAAGCUAGAAACUGACAUUUUAAUGACAGUUAUUUUCUUUCGAAUACAAAGUCCUUUUCUCGUUGGGCAAUAAUUGUUUUCUGUGCAUUAUCAGCUGCACAAGACUUUGUGUUUUUCCCUGUGGAGGGGGAAGACAUUAAACAUGCUCAUUUCA